rnacentral:rRNA from 1 species
GAUUAACGCUGGCGGCAUGCCUAAUACAUGCAAGUCGAACGGAAGCAGCAAUGCUUUAGUGGCGAACGGGUGAGUAACACGUAGGGAACCUACCUAUACGACGAGGAUAACUACUGGAAACGGUAGCUAAAACUGGAUAGGAUCAAUUGAGGCAUCUUGAUUGAUUUAAAGAUCCUUCGGGAUUACGUAGAGAUGGCCCUGCGGCGCAUUAGCUAGUUGGUGAGGUAACGGCCCACCAAGGCGACGAUGCGUAGCUGAGCUGAGAGGCUAAACAGCCACACUGGGACUGAGACACGGCCCAGACUCCUACGGGAGGCAGCAGUAGGGAAUUUUCGGCAAUGGGGGAAACCCUGACCGAGCAAUGCCGCGUGAACGAUGAAGGUCUUCGGAUUGUAAAGCUCUUUCAGUCGGGAAGAAAAGGCGGGCUCUAACAUAGCCCGUUGCUGACGGUACCGACAGAAGAAGCACCGGCUAACUACGUGCCAGCAGCCGCGGUAAA